rnacentral:rRNA from 1 species
ACUCCUACGGGAGGCAGCAGUGGGGAAUAUUGCGCAAUGGGCGAAAGCCUGACGCAGCGACGCCGCGUGAGGGAUGAAGGCCUUCGGGUUGUAAACCUCUUUCAGCAGGGACGAAGCGAAAGUGACGGUACCUGCAGAAGAAGCACCGGCCAACUACGUGCCAGCAGCCGCGGUAAUACGUAGGGUGCAAGCGUUGUCCGGAAUUAUUGGGCGUAAAGAGCUCGUAGGCGGUCUGUCACGUCGGCUGUGAAAACCCGGGGCUCAACCCCGAGCCUGCAGUCGAUACGGGCAGACUAGAGUGCUGUAGGGGAGACUGGAAUUCCUGGUGUAGCGGUGAAAUGCGCAGAUAUCAGGAGGAACACCGGUGGCGAAGGCGGGUCUCUGGGCAGUAACUGACGCUGAGGAGCGAAAGCGUGGAGAGCAAACAGGAUUAGAUACCCUGGUAGUCCACGCCGUAAACGGUGGGUGCUAGGUGUAGGUCGUAUUCCACGCGAUCUGUGCCGCAGCUAACGCAUUAAGCACCCCGCCUGGGGAGUACGGCCGCAAGGCUAAAACUCAAAGGAAUUGACGGGGGCCCGCACAAGCAGCGGAGCAUGUGG